CUUCUGGACCGGACUGAGAAGUCAAUUCUGGAUAAGAUGGGGCCAUGUGACCAUUUUUCCCAACCUCGCUCUGCUGAUGUGCAAAUGUCAUUUAAUUCUGUGAUUUGCAAUUCAAUAAUGCCCAACAGAACAAACCCAGGGAGGCAGUGGAAUGGGCUGUGUCCUUUAUAACCUAGUCAGCAUCUAUAGCUGUUCUUCUCAGUGGUUCUGUCCUCGGGGGAGGGGGUGGAUUUGUUAAUACUGGGCUAACAUGAUAUGACAUGGAGAAAGGCAGCCAGGCUACUUAUUUAAACAAAACAAAAUGAAAACUGCACUCAGAGCUGGGCAAGGUGGUGCAUGCCUUUGAUCCUAGCACUCAAGAGACAGAUCUCUUAGGCCAGCCUGGUCUACAGAGCAAGAUCCAGGAAAGCUAGGGUUACACAGAGUGGGGUAGGGCACACAAGCUACUCUUAGUAGAUGUGGGGAAAACUGGGGUAGGUAGAUGGGGUGCUAUGUAGUAGAGAUACCAAGACUUCAUAAGAGGAAGAAGGAAGACAGGAAAAAGCUGGGCAAAGUGAUGCACAUCAUUAAUUCCAGCACUGGUGAAGUAGAGACAGGGUGAGUUCAAGCGAUUUUAUUCUCUCUAGUCAAAAUGUUUAAAAAUUACUUUUCCUGUAAGUCUGUCUUAACCUUAUGGCUCCAAUCACUCAUUUCCUCAACAUUUUUUAUAACCUGUAAGUCAUAUAAUUUUCUUCUUGGUUUAUCAUCUGGGCUAAUUUUAAAAUCACAACAGUGUGAGAAUGAAUACAGUGUGCUGCACAUAUUUGGUACUUAGUGUCUGCUCC
rnacentral:lncRNA from 1 species